rnacentral:rRNA from 1 species
UACGGGGGGGGCAAGCGUUGUUCGGAAUUACUGGGCGUAAAGAGCUCGUAGGCGGUCAGUCGCGUCUGCUGUGAAAACUCGGGGCUUAACCCCGGGCCUGCAGUGGGUACGGGCUGACUAGAGUGCGGUAGGGGAGACUGGAAUUCCUGGUGUAGCGGUGAAAUGCGCAGAUAUCAGGAGGAACACCGGUGGCGAAGGCGGGUCUCUGGGCCGUAACUGACGCUGAGGAGCGAAAGCGUGGGGAGCGAACAGG